rnacentral:ribozyme from 13 species
AAAAUAACAGGGGAAAUGGAAGUGACAGGGAAAUAUGAACCAUGGAAAAAUUUCGCUUCUUGGUCUAUUGUUGGCUUUUUUCUCAUUCUUGUUUGUACUGUUGCCUUAGUUUCACAAUUGG